rnacentral:rRNA from 1 species
AGCGGAGCAUGUGGUUUAAUUCGAAGCAACGCGAAGAACCUUACCUAAGCUUGACAUCCCAAUGACAUCUCCUUAAUCGGAGAGUUCCCUUCGGGGACAUUGGUGACAGGUGGUGCAUGGUUGUCGUCAGCUCGUGUCGUGAGAUGUUGGGUUAAGUCCCGCAACGAGCGCAACCCUUGUCUUUAGUUGCCAUCAUUAAGUUGGGCACUCUAGAGAGACUGCCAGGGAUAACCUGGAGGAAGGUGGGGAUGACGUCAAAUCAUCAUGCCCCUUAUGCUUAGGGCUACACACGUGCUACAAUGGGUAGUACAGAGGGUUGCCAAGCCGUAAGGUGGAGCUAAUCCCUUAAAGCUACUCUCAGUUCGGAUUGUAGGCUGAAACUCGCCUACAUGAAGCUGGAGUUACUAGUAAUCGCAGAUCAGAAUGCUGCGGUGAAUGCGUUCCCGGGUCUUGUACACACCGCCCGUCACCCCACGGGAGUUGGAGACGCCCGAAGCCGAUUAUCUAACCUUUUGGAAGAAGUCGUCGAAGGUGGAAUCAAUAACUGGGGUGAAGUCGUAACAAGGUA